UGGCACGUGCCGCCGUUGCUAUACAUGCAAGUCGAGCGGACAGAAGGGAGCUUGCUCCCGGAUGUUAGCGGCGGACGGGUGAGUAACACGUGGGUAACCUGCCUGUAAGACUGGGAUAACUCCGGGAAACCGGAGCUAAUACCGGAUAGUUCCUUGAACCGCAUGGUUCAAGGAUGAAAGACGGUUUCGGCUGUCACUUACAGAUGGACCCGCGGCGCAUUAGCUAGUUGGUGGGGUAAUGGCUCACCAAGGCGACGAUGCGUAGCCGACCUGAGAGGGUGAUCGGCCACACUGGGACUGAGACACGGCCCAGACUCCUACGGGAGGCAGCAGUAGGGAAUCUUCCGCAAUGGACGAAAGUCUGACGGAGCAACGCCGCGUGAGUGAUGAAGGUUUUCGGAUCGUAAAGCUCUGUUGUUAGGGAAGAACAAGUGCGAGAGUAACUGCUCGCACCUUGACGGUACCUAACCAGAAAGCCACGGCUAACUACGUGCCAGCAGCCGCGGUAAUACGUAGGUGGCAAGCGUUGUCCGGAAUUAUUGGGCGUAAAGGGCUCGCAGGCGGUUUCUUAAGUCUGAUGUGAAAGCCCCCGGCUCAACUGGGGAGGGUCAUUGGAAACUGGGAAACUUGAGUGCAGAAGAGGAGAGUGGAAUUCCACGUGUAGCGGUGAAAUGCGUAGAGAUGUGGAGGAACACCAGUGGCGAAGGCGACUCUCUGGUCUGUAACUGACGCUGAGGAGCGAAAGCGUGGGGAGCGAACAGGAUUAGAUACCCUGGUAGUCCACGCCGUAAACGAUGAGUGCUAAGUGUUAGGGGGUUUCCGCCCCUUAGUGCUGCAGCUAACGCAUUAAGCACUCCGCCUGGGGAGUACGGUCGCAAGACUGAAACUCAAAGGAAUUGACGGGGGCCCGCACAAGCGGUGGAGCAUGUGGUUUAAUUCGAAGCAACGCGAAGAACCUUACCAGGUCUUGACAUCCUCUGACAACCCUAGAGAUAGGGCUUUCCCUUCGGGGACAGAGUGACAGGUGGUGCAUGGUUGUCGUCAGCUCGUGUCGUGAGAUGUUGGGUUAAGUCCCGCAACGAGCGCAACCCUUGAUCUUAGUUGCCAGCAUUCAGUUGGGCACUCUAAGGUGACUGCCGGUGACAAACCGGAGGAAGGUGGGGAUGACGUCAAAUCAUCAUGCCCCUUAUGACCUGGGCUACACACGUGCUACAAUGGACAGAACAAAGGGCUGCAAGACCGCAAGGUUUAGCCAAUCCCAUAAAUCUGUUCUCAGUUCGGAUCGCAGUCUGCAACUCGACUGCGUGAAGCUGGAAUCGCUAGUAAUCGCGGAUCAGCAUGCCGCGGUGAAUACGUUCCCGGGCCUUGUACACACCGCCCGUCACACCACGAGAGUUUGCAACACCCGAAGUCGGUGAGGUAACCUUUAUGGAGCCAGCCGCCGAAGGUGACAGAGGAAAGGA
rnacentral:rRNA from 1 species